rnacentral:rRNA from 1 species
ACUCCUACGGGAGGCAGCAGUGGGGAAUAUUGCACAAUGGGGGAAACCCUGAUGCAGCCAUGCCGCGUGUGUGAAGAAGGCCUUCGGGUUGUAAAGCACUUUCAGUAGGGAGGAAGGUAGUGUAGUUAACACCUGCAUUAUUUGACGUUACCUACAGAAGAAGCACCGGCUAACUCCGUGCCAGCAGCCGCGGUAAUACGGAGGGUGCGAGCGUUAAUCGGAAUUACUGGGCGUAAAGCGCAUGCAGGCGGCUUGUUAAGUCAGAUGUGAAAGCCCGGGGCUUAACCUCGGAAUUGCAUUUGAAACUGGCAGGCUAGAGUCUUGUAGAGGGGUUAGAAUUUCAGGUGUAGCGGUGAAAUGCGUAGAGAUCUGAAGGAAUACCAGUGGCGAAGGCGGCCCCUGGACAAAGACUGACGCUCAGAUGCGAAAGCGUGGGAGCAAACAGGAUUAGAUACCCCUGGUAGCGACUGA